GAUGGACGCUGGCGGCGUGCUUAACACAUGCAAGUCAAACGGUGAAGCAGGAGCUUGCUCCUGUGGAUCAGUGGCGAACGGGUGAGUAACACGUGAGCAAUCUGCCCUGGACUCUGGGAUAAGCGUUGGAAACGACGUCUAAUACCGGAUACGAGGCGUGGGGGCAUCCCCAACGCCUGGAAAGAACUUCGGUCCAGGAUGAGCUCGCGGCCUAUCAGGUAGUUGGUGAGGUAACGGCUCACCAAGCCUACGACGGGUAGCCGGCCUGAGAGGGUGACCGGUCACACUGGGACUGAGACACGGCCCAGACUCCUACGGGAGGCAGCAGUGGGGAAUAUUGCACAAUGGGCGCAAGCCUGAUGCAGCAACGCCGCGUGAGGGACGACGGCCUUCGGGUUGUAAACCUCUUUUAGCAGGGAAGAAGCGAAAGUGACGGUACCUGCAGAAAAAGCACCGGCUAACUACGUGCCUGCCGCCGCCGUAAGAC
rnacentral:rRNA from 1 species